AGUGAGAGAGAGAGACAGAGAGAAAGGUCUUCCUUUUGCCAUUGGUUCACCUUCCAAUGGCCGCCGCGGCCGGUGUGCCGCGGCCGGCGUGCUGCGGCCAGUGCACCACAGCCAGCGCACCACGCUGAUCCGAAGGCAGGAGCGAGGUGCUUCUCCUGGUCUCCCAUGGGGUGCAGGGCCCAAGCACCUGGGCCAUCCUCCACUGCACUCCUGGGCCACAGCAGAGAGCUGGCCUGGAAGGGGGGCAACCGGGACAGAAUCUGGCGCUCCGACCGGGACUAGAACCUGGUGUGCCGGCGCUGCUAGGCGGAGGAUUAGCCUAGUGAGCCGCGGCGCUGGCCUAAAGAUUUAUUUUUAUUCAUUUGACAGGCAGAGUUACAGAGAGAGAGAGAGAGAGAGAGAUUAAUCUUCCAUCUGCUGGUUGAUUCCCCAAAUGGCUGCAAUGACCGGGACUGAGCCAGGCUGAAGCCAGGAGUGUGCAGCUCCAUCUGAUCUCCCACGGAUGGAACGAGUGACUGUGAGAGGACUGGUCACUUGUAAGGCACCUGCAGAUGUGACGCUAUGACUAUUCAUUACUCAUCACUCUGAUUAUUGUGUGCCACUCUUCCCAGAGCCACUGAAGAGGCUUUUGAGUACCUCGUUGAGUGGCAGCCUCGAGGAACUGAAAUCCAGAUCACUGAGCGUCCUUGGAACCUUCUGGCAUUAAGUCUCCAGAGAACUCCCUUGGCCAUCACGGUAGACACACAUCCCAUUGACCACAUGGCUGCCGGCUCCACCAGGCUUAGAACAACUGGCAUUUCUUCGGAGGAUGAAAAAGAUUCCAGCAAAUCUAAGUGAGUUUUCUUGCUCUCAUUGGACUCUGCUAUCUUUUAUUCAUGUGUAAGCAUCUCUAUUUUUCUGGCUGUGGUACAAACAUAUCUGAUGGUAGAAAGACAAAUGCAAGCAUGAAUGGAUCCCCUUGGACUUGAUACCUGCUUCAUUUAAUAGACAGGGUGAGAAGCCAGUUUAGUGAGAUGACACAGCCCCUGUCACUUCGUGUGGGCAGUUGGAGCCUUUUAGUCACUCAUCUUCCCCACCAACCCUCUACAGUGGAGUAUGAACACCAAAUUUCAAAGAGGAAGAGCUGGCAACUGGGAGCUGGGAGUGGGUCAGCAACAGUCUCAAAGUCGCACAGGCAGUGAGCGGCUGUCGGUCAGGAAGAGUUACACAAGGCAUUGAUAACAAAGGGCCCUGAAUCCUAGUAGCUUGCUGUAACCAAGCUUCU